AAAAUUUUUUAAGUUUUCUUUUAAAAACUUUCUCUUGAGUUUUCUUUUAAAAGAUUUUAACAAUCUUUUUAUAUCGUGGGAGUCAUCUUUAAGCCUACUAUUGCCAACGAGUUUUUCUUGGAAGGGAAAUUAGAAUUGUUUGAAAGGGGUUGUGGAUUCAUCUUGUUUCCAAGGCUUCUUAGGACUUCUACACGUCACUUUUAUCUUUUCCAUCUCUUUUCUUUAUUUUUCUGUUAUGUUCUUGUUAUUUUGAAUCUAAUCUUUGAAUUUACUUAAUUCUAGGUCUUGUUUCAAUCAAGAGAGGCGUCCUCCUAUCUUCUCUCAUCAAGAAACAUCCCAAAAAUAGGGGUUCUUUGCUUUUCUUGUUGUUUGAAUUCUUUUGUUACAAAACAAUUUACUUUUGGCUUAAUUUUUCAUUCUACUAAAUUGUUCUGUUAUUUUGCUUCAGAUAUUUUUGGAGACAUCUUUAAAGUUCAAUAACGAGUUCUUAUCUUCCAAGAAACCUUGUUCUACUCAUUCUUGGACUCCUAUCCUCGUUCGACAGCUUCUUUUUCAUCAAGAACGACCCAAAUGACUCCAAACACCUGGGUUUUCAUUGUUCUUGGCUGACCGAACCUUCUCUUUAAUUAUUCUUGUGAUUUCAUUCAGUUUUUAGUCUAUAUUCUUCAAAUAUGUUUUAAUUGUUUGCAUUCACUUAAUUAGCAGCCUUAAUUCUUAAUUCUAUCUCCCUGCUUUAUUAUUACUUGAUUUUUGUUGUUUCCUUUUCAAUUCUAACUUGGAUUGCUCAGGUUGAGUCAAACUCGAACUUCAAGUUUCCGUUCGUUUGUCUAAAGCCCUAAAUCAAAUCCGCGACUUGGACAAACUUAUGAUCUUAUUCCAUGCGUAUCCCUAUUAGUUGGCAUCUAUUUUUUGAGCAUUUUAGGUGUUAUUUGUGUCUUUAUAAACUGAUUUACAUCAAAAUAGCCUCAAAACAAUUUUUUUACCAAGAAACUUUUUGAAAAAAAAAUUCAAUGGGUAAACAUUUUCUAAACGACCUAAAAAUUUACAUACUAAUUCUUGACACUAUUUUGAAAUAUAAAAAAUAUUUCCUACAAAAAAAAUAAAAAAAGUAAAAAGAAAGAAGAAAUUAGAAAAUAUUACGUGGGCUAAAUUUCAUCUUAAAACUUUCCAGAUCAGAUCUACAUUAUUUGAGGAGACUCUAUUUUAAAUUUUGUGAUUUUUUGAAAUUUUGAACACCUCGAACAAAGUUUAUCAAGUUGCUCCACAAUUUUCGAGUUUUCGAGUUUCAACGAUUUUCAUUAACUCUUAACAUUAUGUUUUCAUUUGUUUUUGCCUUUUAUUGUUCAUUUACGCAUUCUAAUACUUUAUUGUUUCUUGUGUUAGUAGGUUUGCUUCCUCCGUGCAACAUAAUUCUUUGGUAUCUAGUCGAUUUUAGACUUCUAGUGUCACUAGGUUUGCUUUGCGAGUUUGAUUCUCACACAUUCUGAUUGGUUGAUAUAAACACUUUUAAAAGACUCACAAGAUUAAUUACUACCUCAUUGAGAGUUUGAUUUUAUUUCUAAGUGCAUAACGCGGUUUGCUUAAUUUUUCAUUUUGAGUGUAGUGUUAUUUUUAGGCUUUCACAAUGACUCGUGAUACUCGUAAUAGCAAAGCGAAUGAUGAUCCGAGUGAAAAGCCAUCAGUUACCAUAAAGAACCCUGCUAGUUUCACGACAAAGUUGCAAUAAGACUUUUUUAGGUCAAUGAUAAGUUCGAGAACAUGAUUGGUAAAUUGCAACAAGACCUAGAUGCUGGUCCAAGUUAAGCGAGAGAAAGUUGGCAGGAAUUGAUCUAAUUCGUAAGACUGAGGAUAAAGUCGGAGUUAUUUGGGACUAUUUAAAAGUCGCCUUAAACCGUAAACAAUCAUAUGCUGAUAUGAAAAGGAAAUAUAUUGAGUUUUAGAUAGAUGAUAAAGUGUUUUUGAAAGUCUCGCCCUGGAAGAAAAUUGGUCCGAGAUUGAUAAGGUCUUACAAGAUUCUAAAGAGAAUUGGUCUAGUAGCUUGCAGACUAGCUUUGCCUCCACAGCUCGAGAAGAUUCAUAAUGUUUUCCAUAUACCAAUGCCACGUUGUUAUUGUUUUUAUCCUUCCCAUGUAAUAGGUUUAGAUGAGAUAAAAUUAUAGCCUGAUUUGACCUAUAAUGAAGAACUGGUAAAUAUUUUGACUCGGGAAAUAAAAGAAUUCUGAAAUAAA